rnacentral:rRNA from 1 species
UACGUAGGGGGCAAGCGUUGUCCGGAUUUAUUGGGCGUAAAGAGCGUGUAGGCGGCCUGAAAGGUCAGCUGUGAAAACUCGAGGCUCAACCUCGAGACGUCGGUUGAAACCAUCUGGCUAGAGUCCGGAAGAGGAGAGUGGAAUUCCCGGUGUAGCGGUGAAAUGCGCAGAUAUCGGGAAGAACACCCGUGGCGAAGGCGGCUCACUGGACCAUUACUGACACUGAGGCACGAAAGCUAGGGGAGCAAACAGG